UGCUCUGGCCACGUGAGAUGUCCCGGUUUCACCUUUCCCUUCAGCCAAGAUUUCAAGUUUCCCCAAGCCUCCCUAGAAGCAGAAGCCUGUACGGCCUGCAGAACUGAUGAUGUGGCAAGAAAACUCUUGCCAGAUGCUGGCACCUUGAUGUUGGCACCAGCCUCCAAGACUCUGAUAAGUCCCAAGUGCUACUGAAGCUGCUAAACCAGGAACUGCGCUUGGCAAAUCACUGCUUCAGCCAAUGAAUGUCAAGAACAGAAGGUGGGAGAUGAAUUCGGAGAAGACAAACACCUUCUGGGGACACGCUGGAGUUAAAUGGACAUUUUUGGGUGCUUGUCCUGUUUUUUGCUUGUGAAAUAAAAUGAAUUGUUCCACAGAGAGAAGGGAGGUUGAUGCUGAUGGAUGUCUGGAAAAGGACUUGUCACUGUAAACAAGGGUG
rnacentral:lncRNA from 1 species